rnacentral:rRNA from 1 species
UACGUAGGGUGCGAGCGUUAAUCGGAAUUACUGGGCGUAAAGCGUGCGCAGGCGGUGAUGUAAGACAGAUGUGAAAUCCCCGGGCUCAACCUGGGAACUGCAUUUGUGACUGCAAAGCUAGAGUGCGGCAGAGGGGGAUGGAAUUCCGCGUGUAGCAGUGAAAUGCGUAGAUAUGCGGAGGAACACCGAUGGCGAAGGCAAUCCCCUGGGCCUGCACUGACGCUCAUGCACGAAAGCGUGGGGAGCAAACAGG